GCAUUAGUUAAAUUACUUACCAUAUUUGAAGUUUGAUUUUCUUGUUAUCUAAUUCAAUUGUUCUAAUUUUAAAAUCGAUACCUGUGGGAGAUACAGAAGAGAAGGAAAGAGAGAGAAAAUCACAUGAGUAAAUCGGAAUAAAAUUUGGCAAGCAGAAGAUGAACCUGUUUGCAGAAAGGAAAAAAAGCAAAAGCACCUAUGAGAUGAUGACGUACUGGCCAAAAGAGAGAAGCAGCGCGAAGCCCAAAGAGAAAGACAACAAGAGAACAGUAAGAGUAAGAGUAAGAGGGGAACGCAGAAACAAGCGGUACAAAACGCGCAAUUGAAUAAAACAAUGUCGUUAAGUAAAUAGACCAAAAGUGGAAAUUGGCGCGAGGGAAACGUGCCAAAUACGAAAAUAAACAAUUGGCGGCUGCCCCGCAAGUCGAUUCCGCACAGCAAUGCAAGGGAAAUCCGGGUGGGGAAGGGAAGGGAAGGCAACGUAUCACAGAAAAUCAUCAAGGGGCGGCUCGCGAUAAGAGCUUGAAAAGUGCAAUGACUUUUGGGUUUUCUUCUUCCGUUUACAGAUUCCUUUGUUGGCAAUCCGUUUGCCCCUCCCCAAGAGCCCAAGAGUCCGCACCUAUCUGGGUACUAUAUAACAACAAUAAUAAUUAUGACAAAUACUCAAGCAAGAAAAGAAGAGCUCUCGAUGUGAGUCACAGCCCACGGUCUCGAGCUUGAGUCGAGCGCUCAGCCAACCACACAUGAGUGUGAGUGUAAGUGGAGUGAAUAUGUGUGAGUACUGGCGAAGCCCGACGGCGGCGUCAUAAUUAAUUAAAUAUAGUAUUUAACCAGAUCCGAUGAUGUGUGCUUGUAAUGUCGUGGAAUGAUCGAUAGUGGUGUCUUAAAGGAGGGCAGGCAUUCUCACCUAUUGUGGAUAUAAAGGUGGUGUUGAAAGCAUCCUCUGAGAACCGAAACAAUAUGCAGGUCUUGCCCACUCCAGAGUCUCCGAUCAGCAGCAAUUUGAACAGAUAGUCGUACGUCUUGGCCAUUCUAAUUCGUAUGAGAGUAAAAUCACAGUUGCGCUUCUAUUUGUUACUCCUCCUGGUGAUGCCGAUGGCGAUGCUGAGAUGCUCAGAUGCUGAUGCUGAUACUGAUGAUGGUGUACACGUCGCAGUUGCUGUUG